AACGGCGAGUGAAGCGGCAACAGCUCAAAUUUGAAAUCUGGCCCUCGGGUCCGAGUUGUAAUUUGUAGAGGAUGCUUUUGGCGCGGUGCCUUCCGAGUUCCCUGGAACGGGACGCCAUAGAGGGUGAGAGCCCCGUCUGGUCGGACACCAAGCCUCUGUAAAGCUCCUUCGACGAGUCGAGUAGUUUGGGAAUGCUGCUCUAAAUGGGAGGUAUAUGUCUUCUAAAGCUAAAUACCGGCCAGAGACCGAUAGCGCACAAGUAGAGUGAUCGAAAGAUGAAAAGCACUUUGAAAAGAGAGUUAAACAGUACGUGAAAUUGUUGAAAGGGAAGCGCUUAUGACCAGACUUGGGCCUGUCGGAUCAACCUGGGUUCUCCUGGGUGCACUCCUUCAGGUUCAGGCCAGCAUCAGUUCGGCGCGGGGGAUAAAGGCUUCGGGAAUGUGGCUCCCCUCGGGGAGUGUUAUAGCCCGUUGCGUAAUACCCUGCGCUGGACUGAGGUUCGCGCAUCUGCAAGGAUGCUGGCGUAAUGGUCAUCAGCGACCCGUCUUGAAACACGGACCAAGGAGUCGUCUUCGUAUGCGAGUGUUCGGGUGUUAAACCCCUACGCGUAAUGAAAGUGAACGCAGGUGAGAGCUUCGGCGCAUCAUCGACCGAUCCUGAUGUUCUCGGAUGGAUUUGAGUAAGAGCAUACGGGGCCGGACCCGAAAGAAGGUGAACUAUGCCUGUGUAGGGUGAAGCCAGAGGAAACUCUGGUGGAGGCUCGCAGCGGUUCUGACGUGCAAAUCGAUCGUCAAACAUGGGCAUGG
rnacentral:rRNA from 1 species